GAGCGCCUGGGCUGGGCUGGGGCCUUCCUCUUCAUUAGUUCACUGGAAUCCUUUCCACGUCCCCAAGACAGGCACCAUUCAGAUUUUACAGGUUCUAAGAAGCUAAAUAAUAGGCCUGAGCUUUGUAGCUCGUCUGAAGCAGAACAAGGAUUCAGUCAUGCCUGUCUAAAGUGAAUCCAUGCCUGGGCCUUUAACUAACCCCCUGGCUCCAAUGCGCCGGGUAUGCGCUGCAUAGCCUCUGCCACGCACCACACAGACUCAGCUGCCCCGCCCCCGCCUGCCCCCACGGGCCCUCGGUGACUCUCUAGAGGCCUGGGGGCUGGCCUAGACGCAGUUUCUGUUCCACUACUGAGCCUUAGAAUAUGGUGGCUUCUUUUCCUUCUGGUGAGCCACUUGCCCACGUGAUUCCUGCAGAAUCAGUGAAUGCUGUUAGUCUGGUGCUGAGAACAGCACAGCCGCUGGGUGUGGUGUGUGUGCCAGAAGGACGCAAGUGGGGAUCCCAGUGGAGGUGGCCCUGCCUUUGGGUCUCGGCUGGAGGAGGUGGAGAUGAGGUCACCUGGAGAUGGGAGCCUGGGCCCCGCCUCACUCACCUUGACUGCCUUGGUCAGGACUGGGAGCAGGUUAGCCCCCGGGCUCUUCCAGGCUUGGAGCUCCUGUCCUGCUGCCCACAGGGAAUCCAGCUGGACAAGUGUUAAAAGCGUCUCUUCGUGAGAACAAGCGAAAGGAACGCGAGGUUUUGUGAAUGACAGCCUCUCUUAGCAAGAGGAAAGCUGCCAAUCCCAUCAGUGGCAUCAGGAGCCUCCGGGGGCUCGGCAGGGGCGGCCCGGCUCCGCUUCCGCCCAG